GAGCCCGUGGCUCAAUGGUAGAGCGUUUGACUGGAAUUCCAAAGGUCGUGGGUUUG
rnacentral:tRNA from 1 species